CUACGGGAUGCACCAGUGGGGAAUAUUGCACAAUGGGCGCAAGCCUGAUGCAGCCAUGCCGCGUAUAUGAAGAAGGCCUUCGGGUUGUAAAGUACUUUCAGCGGGGAGGAAGGGAGUAAAGUUAAUACCUUUGCUCAUUGACGUUACCCGCAGAAGAAGCACCGGCUAAAUCCGUGCCAGCAGCCGCGGUAAUACGGAGGGUGCAAGCGUUAAUCGGAAUUACUGGGCGUAAAGCGCACGCAGGCGGUUUGUUAAGUCAGAUGUGAAAUCCCCGGGCUCAACCUGGGAACUGCAUCUGAGACUGGCAAGCUUGAGUCUCGUAGAGGGGGGUAGAAUUCCAGGUGUAGCGGUGAAAUGCGUAGAGAUCUGGAGGAAUACCGGUGGCGAAGGCGGCCCCCUGGACGAAGACUGACGCUCAGGUGCGAAAGCGUGGGGAGCAAACAGGAUUAGAUACCCCCGUAGUC
rnacentral:rRNA from 1 species